AUGGAGGAACUAGGCUUGAAGGAGGAUGACUUCCAGGACGUGGUUGUGGAUGAUAGCGAGUUGAUCCCUGAAGCAACUCGUUGGAUGGCUUUGGCUAGGGUGCACACUAACAAACCCUACAACCAAUAUUGGUUCUAUCGGAACAUGAGGGUGGCAUGGGAUCUGGCGCAAGAGGUGAAAAUCCGGCCGCUCGAGGAUAAUCUGUACUCUAUGCAAUUCUCAUGCCUUGGCGACUGGGAG
rnacentral:rRNA from 1 species